rnacentral:rRNA from 1 species
GACCUUCUCUGGGGGCGUGUUUAACACAUGCAAGUCGAACGGAGGCGUCUUUUGCUUGCGAGGGGUACUCGAGUGGCCAACGGGUGAAUAACACGGGGGAGAUCUGCCUUGCACUUCGGGAUAACGCGGGGAAGGUGGGUCUAAUACCGGAGACGACCCUGCUUUGGGGGGGGUGGAGAAAAUUUUUUUUGGUGGAAGAUGACCCCGCCUACCAUCAUGUUGGUGGGGGGGUGGUGGCCUACCGAGGCGACAGACAGGCGGCCUGCCUAGAGAGGGUGGACAGACUCGGUGUGACUGACAGACCGCACACACUCCGACGGGAGGCAUGGGGAGAAAAGUUUACUGGGUGCGAGCCUGAUGCAUCGACUCCCCGCGCGGGAGGAGAUGACCUCCGUUGUAUUCUCACCUCCUUUCGGAAGAGAAGCCCUGCGCGGUGAGGGGACCUGUACAUUAACACAGGUUCCUCUCAUGCCCGUAGCUGCCGUGUAUACGAAUGGUGCGAGCGUGUCCGAAAUACUGGGCUAAAGAGCUCGUAGUGGUUUGUCGCGUCGUCUGUGAAUCCCGGGGCUAACUUCGGGCGUGCAGGCGAUACGGGCAUAACUAGAGUGCUGUAGGGGAGACUGGAAUUCCUGGUGUAGCGGUGAAAUGCGCAGAUAUCAGGAGGAACACCGAUGGCGAAGGCAGGUCUCUGGGCAGUUACUGACGCUGAGGAGCGAAAGCAUGGGUAGCGAACAGGAUUAGAUACCCUGGUAGUCCAUGCCGUAAACGGUGGGCGCUAGGUGUGGGGGUUUUAUUUACGAUUCCCGUGCCGUAGCUAACGCAUUAAGCGCCCCGCCUGGGGAGUACGGCCGCAAGGCUAAAACUCAAAGGAAUUGACGGGGGCCCGCACAAGCGGCGGAGCAUGUGGAUUAAUUCGAUGCAACGCGAAGAACCUUACCUGGGCUUGACAUACACCGGAUCGCUGCAGAGAUGUAGUUUCCCUUGUGGCUGGUGUACAGGUGGUGCAUGGUUGUCGUCAGCUCGUGUCGUGAGAUGUUGGGUUAAGUCCCGCAACGAGCGCAACCCUUGUCUUGUGUUGCCAGCACGUUAUGGUGGGGACUCGCGAGAGACUGCCGGGGUUAACUCGGAGGAAGGUGGAGAUGACGUCAAAUCAUCAUGCCCCUUAUGUCCAGGGCUUCACACAUGCUACAAUGGUCGGUACAGUGGGUUGCGAUACCGUGAGGUGGAGCUAAUCCCUUAAAGCCGGUCUCAGUUCGGAUUGGAGUCUGCAACUCGACUCCAUGAGGUCGGAGUCGCUAGUAAUCGCAGAUCAGCAACGCUGCGGUGAAUACGUUCCCGGGCCU